rnacentral:rRNA from 1 species
CUCCUACGGGAGGCAGCAGUGGGGAAUCUUAGACAAUGGGCGCAAGCCUGAUCUAGCCAUGCCGCGUGAGCGAUGAAGGCCUUAGGGUUGUAAAGCUCUUUCAGUGGGGAAGAUAAUGAUGGUACCCACAGAAGAAGCCCCGGCUAACUCCGUGCCAGCAGCCGCGGUAAUACGGAGGGGGCUAGCGUUGUUCGGAAUUACUGGGCGUAAAGCGCACGUAGGCGGAUCAGAAAGUCAGAGGUGAAAUCCCAGGGCUCAACCUUGGAACUGCCUUUGAAACUCCUGAUCUUGAGGUCGAGAGAGGUGAGUGGAAUUCCGAGUGUAGAGGUGAAAUUCGUAGAUAUUCGGAGGAACACCAGUGGCGAAGGCGGCUCACUGGCUCGAUACUGACGCUGAGGUGCGAAAGCGUGGGAGCAAACAGGAUUAGAUACCCUGGUAGUCCACGCCCUAAACGAUGAAUGCCAGACGUCGGGCAGCAUGCUGUUCGGUGUCACACCUAACGGAUUAAGC